rnacentral:rRNA from 1 species
GACGAACGCUGGCGGCGUGCUUAACACAUGCAAGUCGAACGAUGAACCCGGAGCUUGCUCCGGCGGAUUAGUGGCGAACGGGUGAGUAACACGUGAGUAACCUGCCCUUGACUCUGGGAUAACUGCUAGAAAUGGUAGCUAAUACCGGAUACGACCCUCGGCGGCAUCGCCAGGGGGUGGAAAGAAUUUCGGUCAAGGAUGGUCUCGCGGCCUAUCAGCUAGUUGGUGAGGUAACGGCUCACCAAGGCGACGACGGGUAGCCGGCCUGAGAGGGUGACCGGCCACACCGGGACUGAGACACGGCCCAGACUCCUACGGGAGGCAGCAGUGGGGAAUAUUGCACAAUGGGCGCAAGCCUGAUGCAGCAACGCCGCGUGAGGGAUGACGGCCUUCGGGUUGUAAACCUCUUUUAGUAGGGUAGAAGCGAAAGUGACGGUACCUGCAGAAAAAGCACCGGCUAACUACGUGCCAGCAGCCGCCGUAA